AGCACUUCCUCAAGUCCCCAAGCUCAAGUAUCGCCGGAGGCGCUGCACUUCCACAGAAGCUAUAAAGCAAGAGGAGGAGCCAGCCCGCAGUGUGAGCAGGCAGCCAGGAGGCAGUGGCAGCGCUCUUGGGUCCCUCCUAUGGGGGCUCCUGGCCCAGACUAAGGUGAGAAAGGAGAAAAGAGGGCAAAGGAGGCAGGUCUGUGAAGAUGCUUCUCAGCAGACAGCUGUGGGCCCCUCCCCCACUGGCUCAGUGAGGCGAGCAGGGCUGUGUGCCCUAGUCCAGGCCUAGAGGGGUGCGACCCUGGACCUGGGACGUGCGAUGGACAGGAUCCUGUCUCGUUUCUGAGAGAAACAGGCUGAGGAGCUGACGUCAUCAGCUCAGGCCUGGUGUGGACCCUGCAGGACAGCGAUCUGGUCUGGGGCUGAUUUCCGUUCUUCCCAUUCUCAGCCUCUGGGCAGUGAGGAAGGGGUGCCAGAGAACCAGAAGCUGGGGUGGCAUGUAGGGGGGUCAGCGAUUGGAGAAGCUCUGCCCUCCUCUGGUGCUGCGGCUUGAGAGGCCUGGCAUGAAGGUGUGAAACACCCCCAUGAAAGUGCCCAUGAGACUCAACUCUAAACAGUUUCUGCCUCUCCAGGAAGCCAUCUUGCAACAGUACCAAUCCAGGAACUCAGGCCCCCACUCAGGCGUGGAUGGAAUGAUGAUGUUGGCCUUCCUGACUUCAGUCAACUGAAGCUUGUACUCUGAAGACCUUGGCCCCAGGAGGUCCUGGGAAGGAAUAUGGAACGAACACCACCACCCAGAAGAAUUUGGGAAAUGUCAAAAGGAGGAAGGAGAUGCCAGUCCAUACGUCCUACCAAGCUUUCAGCAUCUCAUCUUCUCACUGGAAUCCAUCUUAGCUGAGCGAUGCGCAUGGCCAGGAAAGACCCUGAAUCAGAAUGACUGGGCAGAGACAGGUCAUAAGUUGUCUCAUUACCAUAAAGCCUGAGACUGUGAGCCACGUGGUGGAGCAGUUGUCCUGAGUUCCCUUGCCCUCCCGCCCUCUGCUCAGGCGCCCCUUCCCAAUAAAAUCUCAUGCUUUGACAGCACGUGCGUCUCCUCGGACAAUUCACUGUUGAGUAUGAGAUGAGUGCCCACUCUCAGGCCCUGAAGGAGGCCCUCUUCCUGCAACAAAUGGCUACUCUGGUGGGAUCUCUUCUUUGCCACGACUGACAUCCUGAUCACUUGGGGUACUUGGGAACAAGCUUGCCUGCCCAUGGACCAGACCCAGUGGUCACUACCUGGGACCCUUUGUCCCUGGUCUCCUCCUGAUGCAGCUGGUUGGUCAGAGUGCCCUGACCCUGACCGGGGUGGAGUUCCUGACCUUUCUUCCUGAAAAGCCAAGGGAAAGUCCUGUAAUAUCUGAGCGCUGCAGGUGGCAGGAGCCGUCUGUGGAUUCUUUACCAGCUGAACCACAAGGGAAACCCCACCAUAAAGCUGAACUAAGAAAUUGAAGAAUUCUAAUGGGAAACCUGCAUGCAUGCGUGCCAAGUUGAUUCUGUCAUGUCCGACUCUUUGCAACCCUGUGGACUGCAGCCUGCCAGGCUCCUCUGUCUGUGGGAUUCUC